rnacentral:rRNA from 1 species
AUCGCAUGAUCCGGUGUGAAAAACUCCGGUGGUAUGAGAUGGACCCGCGUCUGACUAGCCAGUUGGCAGGGUAACGGCCUACCAAAGCGACGAUCAGUAGCCGACCUGAGAGGGUGACCGGCCACAUUGGGACUGAGACACGGCCCAAACUCCUACGGGAGGCAGCAGUGGGGAAUAUUGCACAAUGGGGGAAACCCUGAUGCAGCGACGCCGCGUGAGCGAAGAAGUAUUUCGGUAUGUAAAGCUCUAUCAGCAGGGAAGAAGAAUGACGGUACCUGACUAAGAAGCACCGGCUAAAUACGUGCCAGCAGCCGCGGUAAUACGUAUGGUGCAAGCGUUAUCCGGAUUUACUGGGUGUAAAGGGAGCGCAGGCGGUGCGGCAAGUCUGAUGUGAAAGCCCGGGGCUUAACCCCGGUACUGCAUUGGAAACUGUCGUACUAGAGUGUCGGAGGGGUAAGUGGAAUUCCUAGUGUAGCGGUGAAAUGCGUAGAUAUUAGGAGGAACACCAGUGGCGAAGGCGGCUUACUGGACGAUAACUGACGCUGAGGCUCGAAAGCGUGGGGAGCAAACAGGAUUAGAUACCCUGGUAGUCCACGCCGUA